UACGGAGGGUGCAAGCGUUGUCCGGAAUCACUGGGCGUAAAGGGCGCGUAGGCGGCUCGGUAAGUAGGGGGUGAAAUCUUGCGGCUUAACCGCAGGGCUGCCUUCUAAACUGUCGAGCUCGAGCACGGUAGAGGCAGAUGGAAUUCCCGGUGUAGCGGUGGAAUGCGUAGAGAUCGGGAAGAACAUCAGUGGCGAAGGCGGUCUGCUGGGCCGUUGCUGACGCUGAGGCGCGACAGCGUGGGGAGCAAACAGG
rnacentral:rRNA from 1 species